UACAGAGGGGGCAAGCGUUGUUCGGAAUUACUGGGCGUAAAGGGCGCGUAGGCGGCCUGCUAAGUCGAACGUGAAAUCCCCGGGCUCAACCCGGGAACUGCGUCCGAUACUGACAGGCUUGAAUCCGGGAGAGGGAUGUGGAAUUCCAGGUGUAGCGGUGAAAUGCGUAGAGAUCAGGAAGAACACCGGUGGCGAAAGCGCUCUGCUGGACCUUAAUUGACACUGAGGGACGAAAGCUAGGGGAGCGAAUGGG
rnacentral:rRNA from 1 species